UACGGGGGGAGCAAGCGUUGUUCGGAUUUACUGGGCGUAAAGGGCGCGUAGGCGGCCAACUAAGUCAUACGUGAAAUCCCUCAGCUUAACUGGGGAACUGCGUGUGAUACUGGAUGGCUUGGAUUUGGGAGAGGGAUGCGGAAUUCCAGGUGUAGCGGUGAAAUGCGUAGAUAUCUGGAGGAACACCGGUGGCGAAGGCGGCAUCCUGGACCAAUAUUGACGCUGAGGAGCGAAAGCUAGGGGAGCAAACGGG
rnacentral:rRNA from 1 species